CGGAAGUUUUCAGAGAUGAGAAUGUGCCUUUCGGGAACCGUGAGACAGGUGCUGCAUGGCUGUCGUCAGCUCGUGUUGUGAAAUGUUGGGUUAAGUCCCGCAACGAGCGCAACCCUUAUCCUUUGUUGCCAGCGGUCCGGCCGGGAACUCAAAGGAGACUGCCAGUGAUAAACUGGAGGAAGGUGGGGAUGACGUCAAGUCAUCAUGGCCCUUACGACCAGGGCUACACACGUGCUACAAUGGCGCAUACAAAGAGAAGCGACCUCGCGAGAGCAAGCGGACCUCAUAAAGUGCGUCGUAGUCCGGAUUGGAGUCUGCAACUCGACUCCAUGAAGUCGGAAUCGCUAGUAAUCGUGGAUCAGAAUGCCACGGUGAAUACGUUCCCGGGCCUUGUACACACCGCCCGUCACACCAUGGGAGUGGGUUGCAAAAGAAGUAGGUAGCUUAACCUUCGGGAGGGCGCUUACCACUUUGUGAUUCAUGACUGGGGUGAAGUCGUAACAAGGUAACCGUAAAUCGAAUCCCGCGGCCGCC
rnacentral:rRNA from 1 species